rnacentral:rRNA from 1 species
GACGAACGCUGGCGGCGCGCCUAACACAUGCAAGUCGAACGAGAGAUGAGGAGCUUGCUCUUCAGAUCGAGUGGCGAACGGGUGAGUAACGCGUGAGGAACCUGCCUCAAAGAGGGGGACAACAGUUGGAAACGACUGCUAAUACCGCAUAAGCCCACGGCUCGGCAUCGAGCAGGGGGAAAAGGAGCAAUCCGCUUUGAGAUGGCCUCGCGUCCGAUUAGCUAGUUGGUGAGGUAACGGCCCACCAAGGCGACGAUCGGUAGCCGGACUGAGAGGUUGAACGGCCACAUUGGGACUGAGACACGGCCCAGACUCCUACGGGAGGCAGCAGUGGGGAAUAUUGCACAAUGGGGGAAACCCUGAUGCAGCGACGCCGCGUGGAGGAAGAAGGUCUUCGGAUUGUAAACUCCUGUUGUUGAGGAAGAUAAUGACGGUACUCAACAAGGAAGUGACGGCUAACUACGUG